rnacentral:rRNA from 1 species
GCGUGCUUAACACAUGCAAGUCGAGCGAUGGAACUCCUUCGGGAGUGGAUUAGCGGCGGACGGGUGAGUAACACGUGGGUAACCUGCCUCAAAGUGGGGGAUAGCCUUCCGAAAGGAAGAUUAAUACCGCAUAAAGCAAAGCUUCACAUGAAGUUUUGAUGAAAGGAGUAAUCCGCUUUGAGAUGGACCCGCGGCGCAUUAGCUAGUUGGUGAGGUAACGGCUCACCAAGGCAACGAUGCGUAGCCGACCUGAGAGGGUGAUCGGCCACAUUGGAACUGAGAUACGGUCCAGACUCCUACGGGAGGCAGCAGUGGGGAAUAUUGCACAAUGGGCGAAAGCCUGAUGCAGCAACGCCGCGUGAGUGAUGAAGGUCUUCGGAUUGUAAAACUCUGUCUUUGGGGACGAUAAUGACGGUACCCAAGGAGGAAGCCACGGCUAACUACGUGCCAGCAGCCGCGGUAAUACGUAGGUGGCAAGCGUUGUCCGGAUUUACUGGGCGUAAAGGGUGCGUAGGUGGAUAUUUAAGUGAGAUGUGAAAUCCCCGAGCUUAACUUGGGGCCUGCAUUUCAAACUGGAUAUCUAGAGUGCAGGAGAGGAGAAUGGAAUUCCUAGUGUAGCGGUGAAAUGCGUAGAGAUUAGGAAGAACACCAGUGGCGAAGGCGAUUCUCUGGACUGUAACUGACACUGAGGCACGAAAGCGUGGGUAGCAAACAGGAUUAGAUACCCUGGUAGUCCACGCCGUAAACGAUGAGUACUAGGUGUAGGAGGUAUCGAUCCCUUCUGUGCCGCAGCAAACGCAAUAAGUACUCCGCCUG